ensembl:lncRNA
UAGGAUAGUAUUGAUGUUAAUGUGCUUUGAGAUUCAUAUUGACAACUAUCCAAUACAUGAAGCAUAAGUAUUUUAACUUACUGCAACUUGGGCAGAAGAAACCAUUCUUGCUGCAUUGCGGUUUUUCCAGACCCCCUGCCACCACUCAUUAUCCAGCCUGUCUUUGAGGGCCUCCAUCUUAUUAAAAUUGCUAAGGGUUGUGUAGCAGGCACUGCAGCACUUCCUACUGGCCUGGUUCUUGACCUGGCAAGCAGGGCAAGGCCUGAAUUUUGAAAGUUAUUAUGAUAUUUAAAUACAUAGCACAUUUUUAAGGCAAACAGAUUGUCAUACAAAUAAAACCACAACACACAUACAAAAAUUGCCUAAAGGCACAUUCAGUGUCAAAAUUAAAUUCAUUUAGACCAUCCCAACUGUGAAUGGGCUCUCCGUUGCCCUACUAUUAGGCUUGAACUGUUCUACAAUAAGGUCUUUAUGUCACGGCACGGAUCCAAUGACACACGGUGAUAGAACCAAUUGCAGGUAAGUCGUUUAUUUAGGGAUAAUCCAAAAGGGUAAACAGUCCAGGCAGGGGUCAAAACCAAACAUAAUCCAAACAACAUAAAUAUGACACGAACACAAGGCAAGGCAAGAGUAGACGGACAUGAAUACUACUCGACAUUAAACAAGGACUCCGUGACACAGACAGAAACAAACCAGGUAUAUAUAGACAGGUGAUUACAAUACUAACGAGAAACUGGCUGAGUGCAAUGAUUAAUGACCAGGGACAGCUGAGUGCAAUGAGCAGUGAUGAAACAGACAGGACUAUGGGAAAUGCAGUUCUAAAGUGGGGUGACAAUAAGGGGAAGUGAGACCUCUAGUGGACACCCAGGGAUACACAAACCAGACACCGUGACACUUUAUUACUGUCAAAAAUACACAGGUCUAUGUCCACAGUUUUAGUCAUCAAAUAUACGUGUGGAUGCUGUCUAACACACAAGCAAAACCAUUAUUGAAUGAAACACUCGAUGGCAUACUAAAGGCAGUAGGAUGGCUUGAUAGUCUCAAGUUGU